rnacentral:rRNA from 1 species
GUCGAACGGUAACAGGAAGAAGCUUGCUUCUUUGCUGACGAGUGGCGGACGGGUGAGUAAUGUCUGGGAAACUGCCUGAUGGAGGGGGAUAACUACUGGAAACGGUAGCUAAUACCGCAUAACGUCGCAAGACCAAAGAGGGGGACCUUCGGGCCUCUUGCCAUCGGAUGUGCCCAGAUGGGAUUAGCUAGUAGGUGGGGUAACGGCUCACCUAGGCGACGAUCCCUAGCUGGUCUGAGAGGAUGACCAGCCACACUGGAACUGAGACACGGUCCAGACUCCUACGGGAGGCAGCAGUGGGGAAUAUUGCACAAUGGGCGCAAGCCUGAUGCAGCCAUGCCGCGUGUAUGAAGAAGGCCUUCGGGUUGUAAAGUACUUUCAGCGGGGAGGAAGGGAGUAAAGUUAAUACCUUUGCUCAUUGACGUUACCCGCAGAAGAAGCACCGGCUAACUCCGUGCCAGCAGCCGCGGUAAUACGGAGGGUGCAAGCGUUAAUCGGAAUUACUGGGCGUAAAGCGCACGCAGGCGGUUUGUUAAGUCAGAUGUGAAAUCCCCGGGCUCAACCUGGGAACUGCAUCUGAUACUGGCAAGCUUGAGUCUCGUAGAGGGGGGUAGAAUUCCAGGUGUAGCGGUGAAAUGCGUAGAGAUCUGGAGGAAUACCGGUGGCGAAGGCGGCCCCCUGGACGAAGACUGACGCUCAGGUGCGAAAGCGUGGGGAGCAAACAGG